CACAUGUAUGUGUUAUCAGACAUUUAGCUACAAGAUAUCUAUCCUGUCUGAAGCAUGUCUCCAAGGCAGUGAAUUGCAUCAAUGCAGAGUUCCAGGAAUGGCUUGUAACUAUCAAGAAUCCCUUUUAUUCAACCUGUUACACAAUGCCAAUACAUCAUCAUUUUUCUGACUAAGUCUCAAGCUCCCAAGAGAGAAAACUGGAACAGCUGUGAAAUUCUAUCUUCGUGAUGUCUACUUUGAGCACAUCAGCUCAGCUUCCUCACUGACUAUUGGAGAAGACAGCAAAGAUUCGUCCCAGAAUAUG